CACAGGGACUAGGUAUAUCCUUGCCCCUGAAACACAUGGGAAAAAUCUGGACAAAAUAACAAGCAGGAAGAAGGGGUCUAGAGCGGAAUCUGGUGACAAAGCAGCCCUGGGUCAUUUGGCUGGCGGCUCACACACCCCCAGGAGCACCUCCAAGGGACUCAGUACUCUCCAGUGCUAAGGCAAGAAAAUGUUCCAAAGGAUGGUUCUGACUGUAUUUGAAUUAUAAUUAAAGUUGCAAAUAACCCA
rnacentral:lncRNA from 1 species